AACGCACGAGACCUGCGGACCUGCGGAAGGAUCAUUACCGAGUUAUCCAACUCCCAACCCCUGUGAAUUAUACCUUUAAUUGUUGCUUCGGCGGGACUUCGCGCCCGCCGGGGACCCAGACCUUCUGAAUUUUUUAAUAAGUAUCUUCUGAGUGGUUAAAAAAAUGAAUCAAAACUUUCAGCAACGGAUCUCU
rnacentral:misc_RNA from 1 species